AAAAAUAUUUUAUGUAUUUAAUUUUCCCGAACUUGGAAGAGCUAUUUUGAUAUAAAUGUUAUUGUAGAAUAAAUAUUUAAAAUAUCAAAUUAGUAGCGAAACGUUAUUCGUUUCCAAAUAUAUCUGGUUUUUUAAGAAAUGAAUAUAAUUCAGGUUUAUUUCUAGUUUAAUUUGCUAAAUUUUUAGUGAAUUGCUUGGUAGGACUAAUACUUUAAGGGAUGAGCUUUGGAGUAAAUUUUUAAAAAUUGUUAUUUUAAAAUUAGAUUGGUAGGAUUGGAAGUUUCUUUCUUUAAAAUGAUGUUAUAAUUGAUCUUAUUUUGUUUUUUAUUUAUAUUGAUUUUAAGUUUUUUAUUAAAAUUUUGGUUUAAAUUUUUUAUGCCUAGUAAUAAUGAUAAAAUUAGUAUAUUUUGUGUUUUUCGUUUUGGGUUUAUUUAGGUUCAUAGAAGGAAUUCGGCAAAGGAUUUUUCACCUGUUUAUUAAAAACAUGGCCUUUUGAUUUUUAUUUAAGGUCUAGCCUGCCCACUGAUUCGUUUAACGGCCGCGGUACUCU
rnacentral:rRNA from 1 species